ACGCCUAAUUUAUAUAUCAAAUAUUACUUUUGAAAAAAUUAAUAACUUUUUUAAUAUUUGUGCAUUCACCGAAAAUUACCUACAUAAAAAAACAUUGGAAAUAUAUAUUUUCUUCGUGAUUGUAGAUAUCCUUCUUUUCUUAAAUGAUUUCUUAUGUGUAAUUAUACAUAUUUUAUCAUUGAUUCGUUACUUUUAGAAAUCUUUUUCUGUCUUUUAACACUUUUUAGGAAAAAUAUCUAUUGUAAAAGUGCUUUUGUGAUUUUCCAGGGCCGCAUUAUUAAUAACUUUUAGAUUUUCUUCGCAAGAUCCAAGACAAACUCAUUUGAGAGACAUGAUAGACACAUACUACUAGAGAUGUCAAACAAUUUUACCCAUUCCGUUCCGUCCCGUACCGCGGCGGGUUAGUCGUCGAGC
rnacentral:lncRNA from 1 species